rnacentral:rRNA from 1 species
UACGGGGGGAGCAAGCGUUGUUCGGAUUUACUGGGCGUAAAGGGCGCGUAGGCGGCCUUCUAAGUCAGGCGUGAAAGCCCCGGGCUCAACCUGGGAACCGCGCUUGAGACUGGAGAACUAGAGUUCGGGAGAGGAUGGUGGAAUUCCCAGUGUAGAGGUGAAAUUCGUAGAUAUUGGGAAGAACACCGAUGGCGAAGGCAGCCAUCUGGACCGACACUGACGCUGAGGCGCGAAAGCGUGGGGAGCAAACAGG